rnacentral:rRNA from 1 species
UGGCUCAGAACGAACGCUGGCGGCAGUGCCUAACACAUGCAAGUCGAGCGCGCCUUCGGGCGAGCGGCGGACGGGUUAUAACGCGUGGGAACGUGCCCAGAUCUACGGAAUAGCCACUGGAAACGGUGAGUAAUACCGUAUACGCCCUUUGGGGGAAAGAUUUAUCGGAUUUGGAUCGGCCCGCGUUAAAUAAGGUAGUUGGUGGGGUAACGGCCUACCAAGCCUACGAUCUAUAGCUGGUUUUAGAGGAUGAUCAGCAACACUGGGACUGAGACACGGCCCAGACUCCUACGGGAGGCAGCAGUGGGGAAUCUUGGACAAUGGGGGCAACCCUGAUCCAGCCAUGCCGCGUGAGUGAAGAAGGCCCUAGGGUCGUAAAACUCUUUCGCCUGUGAUGAUAAUGACAGUAGCAGGUAAAGAAACCCCGGCUAACUCCGUGCCAGCAGCCGCGGUAAUACCGAGGGGG